ACCAUUUUCUCUCAAAAGCUUUUCAAAGCCAUCCAGAAAAUAGCUAGUCUAACACCUGUAAUACACAUUAAAAAAAUAUAUAUAUAAGCUCCAGUUUAUCACUCAGUUAGAGUUAAAAAGUGCUUGACUACACUAGCAGCGAUCAUGUCCUCUUCAGGUACCUCUUUUUUCUUACCCCUGUUCAUAUAAUGCCUAUAUUUACUCUAUUUCCUGCUGUUUAAAUACUCCUAGUUAUUACUUUUUAUACUCUCAAAUAAUUCUGUUUGAUUAAGGCUUAUAUUUUACUGUAUUUCCUGUUUGUUUAAAUACUUGUUAUUUCUUUUUAGACUCUGAAAUAAGCCUGCUUGAUUCUUCUCUUUUGGAUCAUCUCGAUCAAAUCGUUCACCUAGUUCUUCGCCCAGUUCUUCACCACCGGUUUUAGAGAGAGCUACAGGCAAGAACAUUCGUCUCUCGACCCGUGAGAGACAGGCUUUGCUUUCUGCAAGGGCUUGCCCGGCGUCAGCUCCCCAGCGUGCCUCGGGCAAAAACCUGAAUCUGUCCACCCGGGAGAGGGAACAGCUGAUCGCGGCGCACGCUCACAGUCCCGGCUUCGGAGCUUCAGCUCCCCAGCGUGCCUCGGGCAAAAACCUGAAUCUGUCCGCCCGGGAGAGGGAACAGCUGAUCGCGGCGCACGCUCACAGUCCCGGCUUCGGAGCUUCUCCUCCUGCAUCGGGGCCAAGACAUUCACAGCCCCUGCCUCGGAGAUCCAAUCUAGGGCAUCUCAGAAGGAAGCGUAGGAGGACCAUUAGGUCCCUCAGGACAAGGCAAACACGCAGACAGCGAAACCAG
ensembl:lncRNA